UACGGGGGGAGCAAGCGUUGUUCGGAUUUACUGGGCGUAAAGGGCGCGUAGGCGGCCACCGCAAGUCGACUGUGAAAUCUCCGGGCUUAACCCGGAAAGGUCAGCCGAUACUGCGGGGCUAGAGUGCAGAAGGGGCAACUGGAAUUCUCGGUGUAGCGGUGAAAUGCGUAGAUAUCGAGAGGAACACCUGCGGCGAAGGCGGGUUGCUGGGCUGACACUGACGCUGAUGCGCGAAAGCUAGGGGAGCGAAGCGGG
rnacentral:rRNA from 1 species